rnacentral:ncRNA from 1 species
AUAUAAACGAUGAAAAGAACCAGUAUGGAAGUCCUGCCUUCAUAGAGAGAGGGGAUUGGUGAAAGCCCUCAAGGAAAGUUUCCAGAACCUGUCUUGGAGUUUCUCAACCAUUUGAGCGGGGAAAGCCGUUAUACUUUAGAGUGGAUACGUUAGGAGAAGUAUCAAUAAGGGUGGUACCGCCGAAGAGAUUUGGCCCCUUUU